CAUUUUUAUUUUUCAAUAUCGCGAUAAAUAUCGCACCGUGGACUUUUUUAUCGACUAUUACAUCCCUAGUAAUUGAUGUUGGUCCUGUAUUUGUCUUUGUGUGUUGCUCUGUUAUUGUAUGUUUAAUUGUCUUCAACUGUUUUGGGCCCCCAACCUCUCACCCUCCCCUCCCUUUCUUCCCCUUUGUCCUGCCCCCUUUUGAUUAAGAUGUUUUAGGUGACCUCCUCAAACCCACAGUGGCGUCCUCACCCAACCAGGGCCUGACCCUGAACGGCCACAAACUUGUUUCCAACGACCUGGACUCGUCACUUGCAAAUCUUGUUGGCAAUCUGGGAAUUAGCAAUGGCACAGCAAACAAUGAUCUUCACUGGAAUCAGCCUGGUGAGAAGAAGCUGACUGGUGGAAACAACUGGCAACCCAAAUCCGCUCCUUCUACCACCUGGAACCCUGCAGCC